rnacentral:lncRNA from 1 species
UUUUUUCUUGUAUAUAAUAUAUUUAUGUUGUUGCCUUAUAUAUCAUAGUGGCUGUGUAUUGUUUGUGGACUUAUGAUAUGUACUAGUACAUAUGAGGCUGAGUAUAUAUGUUAUUUGUUUGUGGUAAUUUAGUUUUUCUUUAAUGUCCCGAUGAUGUUUUAGAUUAGAUGUGAAAAUAAUAUUCGCUACAGAAUGCGUACACAGUUAGCAUGUGUACAUGAAUAAGUUUGUAACUAAUAAUGUAAAAAUAUAUCCUGAGAAUGGAAAUAAAUUACAAUAAACCAAAUUUUAACAAAUCACACCCGCAGCAAAUAAAAUAUUCUACUGACUCUGUGCUUGAUUAGAAAGCGUAUGAAUUUUGUCUGAAGUCAAACAGUGUAAAGUAUGACAACAUUUUUAGUAAAAACUAUUAACAACCACAAUAUUAAUUAAUUAGAUAUGAAAAAAUUAUUUAUUGUAUAUUUAAUGAUAUUAUUUUGGUAUUGUAAUUUCAACCAAAUCCUUGAUGCAAUAUGCUUUAAUAACCUGAUGAUGCAUGUGAAAACAAUAUUCGUCACAGUACGCAUACAUAGUUGCCAUUUUUGCAGAUGUAUACUUAGUAAAUAAUAUUAAAAAUGGAACGAAUAUUGUUCCGCGGAAAUAGUCCGGUUUCUAAGCAGUGUAUGUUAAAACUUUUGUGAAACAUUCUCAAAUUUACAACAACAAAUUGAUGUCAUAUAUGAGGGAACCAUGCCAAGUUUCAUGUUUUUCAAAUUUUUACCACAACAAAUUGAUGUCAUAUAAUGUCACAAUUUUUUAUAUCACAAACAUUUUUGAAUCGGCGAACAUUUUUUGAAAUAUUGGAACAAUUUUUUUAAAAUUCACAAACAUUUUUUGAAUCAGCAAACAUUUAAAAAAAUUGGAACAAUAUCUAAAAUUCAUGAACAUAUUUUUUUUGAAUUCAUGAAUGUUUUUGAAUUUGUGAACAAUUUUUUAUUUUAGAAAGAUUUUAAUAGAAAGCGGGCGGAAAUCUAAAAAAAACUAUCAAAAAACCUCAUUUUUGCAACAAAGAAACGUUGAAAACCAAUAUAAAUAUAUUAGAGCAUCUCCAACAGCCGCGCUAUAUAAGCGCCGCGCCACAAAUUAGUGGUUUUUAGCGCGCGCGCAAUAGGUAAACUAGCUCCAGCGGAGGCGCAAUUACCGCGCGCGCGGCAUAAAGUGUUCAGCAUGGGAGGCGGUGGCAUUGGCGGCAUGGGAGGCAGUGGCAUUGGUGGCUUCAGAGCUACCAUGGGCGGCAUGAGUGGUAUGGGUGGUUUCGGAGCUACCGUGGAGGCCAUGAGAGGCAUGGGUGGCUUCGGAGUUACCAUGAGAGGCAUGAGCUUUGCGUCUCUCAUGGGAGGUAUGGGAGCACCUCUGGGCGGAAUGCCUUCCGGUGUGCCUCAUCACACACCUUCCGUUGACGAUCUUGCCAACACCAUCCGAGCUCCCGAUGACGAUGCGGUGCUUCAAAAUGAAGAGGAGAAGGAAGAAUCGUCUUCGGAUGAGGAAGAUGAAUCGGAGGAAGAGGAGUACGAAGACGAGGAUGAGGCAUGAAGUGCCAUUCGUUUGUGUGAACUUUGUCAUGAACUUCGGAUUUUGAACUUGGUUGGAUGAUGUUGUGGGCAUGAAUUUGAAAUUUUAUGUCAUGAACUUGUUUGGGUUUAUGUUUUUGUUUUCAUGUUUCAAACAUCAUCAUCUCCAAAACUCCAUAUGGCAAGCGCCAGCUGCUCACGCGCGCUGCGGUUUUAGCGCGCCUGCUGGAGCAGCUCGCAAACGCUAAAAUUUACAGCGGCUGCUGGAGCAAGCGCACCGAGCCGCGCUAAAACAGGCGAUCCUCACGCUGCAAAUGGGUUUUUAGCGCGCCGCACGUAGCGUGGCUGUUGGAGAUGCUCUUAGGAAAGUCCAGUAGCGCUCGUUGUCCUAGUUGGGCCAGGAAAAAAUCAUGAUUGCAGGAGGAAGGGUGCGCAUUUCCUCGCUGUUGAGUAUCGUGAUUAUUAGGAAAGUUAGGAUAGUGUAGGAUAUUAUUCUACCUUGCCUUGUACUCCAAGAUAAUCAUGUACUCCUAUAUAUAUGCUCACGAGCCUCAAGCAAUACAACGAACUAUUCCAUCAAACCUCUCUCUUCUUUCUAACAUGGUAUCAGCCUAAUCUCGAUCCAAACCCUAGCCGUCGUCGUUUCCGCUCCGCGCGCCGCCCCCGGGGCGGUCGGCCUUCAUGACCGCCGCCGGGGUCGCGCCGCCCGUACCUAGGGUUUGUCCGCCAGUCGUGUUUACCGGCUGCCCUAGAGAGUCUUUUUCCCCGAUCGCUUGAUCCGGAUUUUUUUGUCCGUCGCCGAUCGUUUUGACCGGUGUUUCUUUUUGGUUUUUCGAUCUAAAGAUCGGUUUGAGUAACCCAUCGUCUGUCGAUCUUUUGCACGCAUCUGCUUCAACCUUGACAAUGACUACACGCUAGCACGCGGCUACUCUGGAACUCCCGCGUACAUACGCGCGUCGUUCCGGCCCGGCAUGCAUCCACCGAGAUCGGCUACUGCGGCGGCCGCUCGCAGCCUCUUGCGCUAGCCCGUCGUCCGGCAACGGAGUGGCCUCUGGCCGCUCCCACGCGGACGUUCGCUCGCAUGCGCGCAUGGUCUGCUGCUCAGUUGCCCACGCAGAUCCACCGAUCCAAUCAUGGAGGCUUGUGCCCGUGCAUGCAGGUGUUUGCAUGUGGUGCAUCCUCUAGGAGAUCCAGUGAAAAUCGUCUGGUAUACAGUAUACGUGCUUCUUCUCCAAUCGAGCAGUGGCUGCCGCUGCGUUGUCCCUUCGGACCGCAGCGUCGUCGCACCAUGGGUUUUCCCCAGCUGUAUCGAUCCGCGUGCUGCCGCUGCGUCGCCUCUUCGGACCGUAGUACCGCGGUCCACGGUCUACCAUCAUCCCGAUGUCGUCCGCUCCAGGACGUUCUCGUGGCUGCACCGACCCUCGCGCUGCCGCUGCGUCGCUCCGUCGGGCCGUAGCGAGCGUGACACGCGGUCCAUGCCGCCAUCCCGUGGUUCUCCCCGCGGCUGCACCGACCCGCGCGCUACCGAUGCGUCGCCCUUUCGGGCCGUAGUGCCACGGCCCACAGUCGACCGCCGCCCUGAGGCCGUCCGCUCCAGGCCGUCCCCGAGGCUGCAUCGACCCUCGCGCUGCCGCUGCGUCGCCCCGUUGGGCCGUAACGAGCGUGGCACGCGGUCCCUGCAACCGCCCAGAGGUCUUCCCCGCCGUCGCCCCGACCAACGCGCUGUCGCCGCAUCGCCCCUUCGGGUCGUAGCGUCGCGGCGCACGGUCCACUUCGCCGUCCCCGCGCGUCGACUUCUACGUGGUAUGUGUCGCGCCUCCUUCCUAGGCGCGGGAACGCCACCAUCCGCGCCGGUCUUCGUCACGCUGUCGGGUUCUUCCUCGCAUACUUCGAGCAAUACAACGAACUAUUCCACCAAACUUCUCUCUUCCUUCUAACACUGGCUACUCCCCUCGUAGGUCGAGGAAUAGGAGAUCCCCUCCAUGACUUCUUUGGGUUGUCACAGUGGCGGAGCUUCACGGGGUCAACCUUGGCCACCCACCACCCCAGCCCAUGAAGAAAUCUCCUAAUACUCUUUAGUAUUUGGGCCAUAAGUGCGGUAAAACAACCCAAACCUCGUAAUUUUGCCCACCCUCAGCCCUUUCCCCUUCAAAGAUUUGGCCUUAGCUCCGCCACUAAGUCAUCACAUUUCUAUAUGAAUCCAUCAUCAGAUGCCUUGAGUAAAUAUUAAUUGAACCUGGCCUCGUUUUAUCCCAUGCUCUGGAUCAACCCGUCACCUCUCCUCGUCGUGCCUAGACGGUGGCACCUCUCUGCAAUGUACCUCCUCGCUGCAUUGCAAGGAUGAAGGAGGCAAUGGUUUGCUUCAUCACCGGCAAUCGCAGGGCCACCGAGGUAGCCCACUGUGUAAGGACAACCCCAAUCAUCAUAGUGUACUGCGUGUACAUGAAAGAUCAUGGUGAUGCUAACAAUUUCUCCUAAAACAUCCCCGAGAAUAAUAAUUGAAUAAAUUUCAACAGAGAAGCUGAUAUUACAGGGAAGAACGCUAACGGGUCGCCAUUCUCAAAGAGGAAGGUGCUAACGCUGGAAGUGGCAAUGGGGUACACUGUCAUUGCCAUGAUGCCAAUCCCCGUCGUGCAGUCGGAUCUUCCUAAACCGGCUAAAAAGGUGUUUUAGUUAGUUUCCUACUUAUUUUUCUGCUCGUUAUUUUUUCAGCCCGCACAUUUCGGAAAACUGCCGCACUUAGGGGCAUUUUUUCUGCCGGUUUUCAUGAAACCGGUUGUAAUCAAAGUUUUAAAUAGCCAGCUAUAGAGGUUUGAGCAAGGUGUCACUAAAUAGUAUUCAUGUGUGAUUGUUCAAUAAGAUUACAAAAUAGCGACCUAUAGCCCCGCUAUGGCCGCGCUAUAGUUGUUUGAGCAGGGUGCCACUAUUUAAAAACUAUGGUUGUGACGAGGAAUCAAAAUUCGAUUUAUUAGUAGUGAAAGAAGUACAUACUGGGAACGUACUUUUAUAAACUAAUCCAUAUGUAUAUUUAUGGUUUUCAAGUAUACUCCUUGCAGCGCCUCCUACUCCGCCAGGUCCGCGUCCGGCGCGACCGCCCUGCCAGCGGUGACCUGCUCCUCCGCCUGCAGAUGCUCCUGGAGGAGGUUGUGGUUGUAGUUGGCGUCGGCCUGCGCCUCCUGGAACUGCUACUCCCGCACCAUGUCCAUAUGAUGGGUACAGGCCUCGCCGAUGGUCAUGGUGCAAUACACCGGCGAGGGUGGAGCGGAGGAGGAGGGUGCCACGGAAAAAGAGGAGGGUGGCGCUGGCUCGUCAUCGGAGGCGUCCUCCAUUUGCACGUCCUCUGGCUGGCUGCUGGCCUGCCAGUCGGCAGCAAUGGCGGCCAUGGCCUUCUUCUACUCCAACGUAAGCCUGUCCAAGAGAGUUUUGGCCGCGGGGGGAUCUAUGGCGGGGAGUGGUGGGUUGACUGUGGCUAUGGCCGGGGCAGUGGUUUAUAUAGCACCGGCGGGCGGUAGUUGAACGGACGAGUAGCGUCGGAGGAGACGCCUCGGCAACCGCGUGCCAUCAAUACGGGCCGCAGACGGACGGACGUGCGGCCGUCGUGUCGUUUGAACGUGCGGCAGUCGCUUGCACUGGGAAGUGGCGCGGGCGGCGCUCUCUCGACCGGCACCCCGCUUCAAUGCCGGUGCCAGUGACUGGUCGCGUUCGCUCUGGGCGGGCAUGAAUGCGGGCGCUGACGAUCAGGAGCGGCGCUGACCUAAAACACGAGAGAGGGUGAUGGGUUUUUGGUGGGCCAGGGCGGUCAGAAACGGGCUUGGGAUCGGUCCGGACUCCCACAAACCUCCCCCACUUUUGUCUCCGGUUUGCGGGAGAAAUCGCGUCCGAACCGCGCCACGGACCGAUGCAGGCCCGCGUCGGAUGGCUUCCACGGUGCGGACCGUUGCGGGAGAUUUGCGGGUCGGUGUUGGAGAUGCCUUAACAAUACUUAUGCAAGACUACACUUUUACUUUCACUGAGCAAAGGGAGUAAUGAUGUGAUGCUCAUGGUAAUAUAUUGCAACGAAAUCACGAAGUACUCCAACAUUACAACAGCGAUGCAUGCAUCCUGACAACAGGUCAUAACAAGAAAACUAAAUUUGCGGCAACAAUAGUACACCCUAUAUUGCCACACAGUACUUUCUCACUGCAAUAUUCCCAUGCAUGUACCACAGCAAUAUUUUGUUUCUGCUGCAGUAACCUGCAUGUCACAUUGCAAGCUAGAGAAUUAUUAAGUACUAGCUAAUGCUAAAAGUAAGUGAAGGGAAACCGUACGUGGCAAUGAAACUGCCACGGAUUAUUCGUCGUUGCAAUACUGCCAUAGGAAGGUCGAUCAUCAUUCUGCGAGAAGAGUGGAGUUGGCGGUGAUGGCGCCGGCAAAGACAGCGUCACAGCCGCCGCUCUGGCAGCCUGCACCGCAAUAGCCCGGGCCGAUGCCACAGGAUCCCCACUUGCUACAACAGUAGUUGUUAGUGCAAACCCUGCCGCCGGCGUCCUUGCCGCACGGCUUGUCGGUGCUGCAAGCACCGCUCUGGCAGCCACCGCCGCAGAACUCGGAACCUAGGCCGCAGAAUCCCCACUGGCUGCAGCAGAGGUUGUUCGGGCAUAGCUUGCCGCCGGACUGGCUGCCGCACUUGAUGUCGGCGCGGCAGGGGCCGCCCUGGCAGCCGGCGCCGCAGUACUCGGCUCCGAAGCCGCAGUGCCCGUACUGGCUGCAGCAGUGGUUGUUGGGACACGUCGCCCCGCCGGCCUGGCUGCCGCAGCGCUUGCUGGUCCAGCAGGCGCCGUUCUGGCAGCCCUUGCCGCAGUAGUCGCCGCCCAUGCCGCAGUACCCGUACUGGCUGCAGCAGAGGUUGUUGGGGCACUCCAUGUUGCUGCCCUGCUCGCCGCACCUCUGGGCCUGCGCGGUCGCCGCGGCGAAGGCGAGGAAGACAGCCGCGCCGAGCGUAAGGGCCAUGGUGCUCAUCAUCUUUCUCAUUAUUUCUCUUGGUGCUGGUUGUGCAGUUGUGU